CCUACGUGAGGCAGCAGUGAGGAAUAUUGGUCAAUGGGCGCGAGCCUGAACCAGCCAAGUAGCGUGAAGGAUGACUGCCCUACGGGUUGUAAACUUCUUUUAUAAAGGAAUAAAGUGAGGCACGUGUGCCUUUUUGUAUGUACUUUAUGAAUAAGGAUCGGCUAACUCCGUGCCAGCAGCCGCGGUAAUACUGAGGAUCCGAGCGUUAUCCGGAUUUAUUGGGUUUAAAGGGAGCGUAGAUGGGUUGUUAAGUCAGUUGUGAAAGUUUGCGGCUCAACCGUAAAAUUGCAAUUGAUACUGGCAGUCUUGAGUACAGUUGAGGUAGGCGGAAUUCGUGGUGUAGCGGUGAAAUGCUUAGAUAUCACGAAGAACUCCGAUUGCGAAGGCAGCUUACUAAACUGCCACUGACAUUGAUGCUCGAAAGUGUGGGUAUCAAACAGGAUUAGAUACCCUAGUAGUC
rnacentral:rRNA from 1 species